AUGGCGGACGAGGGGACGGCCAACUGCAUCGACAUCAUCCUCGCCAUCAUCCUGCCGCCGCUCGGCGUCUUCUUCAAGUUCGCCUGCUUCUUUGUGCCAGGUGAACCAUGGCGAACUUGUUCUGUGUCUAGUACAAGCCGUUUGUCUGAGACGCGAGCCACGGUUCAUGGUGCUGCCUACGUGUGUGUUGAUGCUGUUGUACAUCUGUGUUGUUGUCCGUGCUUGAUGAUUAGCCUCCUCUCCUGUCACCUUCCCUUCUCCAGUGUAGUGUAUCCAUCCAGUUGUGUUGUUCCUCCGCGCAUUUUCGUCGUCCAUGUACUUUGA
rnacentral:rRNA from 1 species